rnacentral:rRNA from 1 species
UUUAUGGAGAGUUUGAUCCUGGCUCAGGAUGAACGCUGGCGGCGUGCCUAAUACAUGCAAGUCGAGCGAACGGACGAGAAGCUUGCUUCUCUGAUGUUAGCGGCGGACGGGUGAGUAACACGUGGAUAACCUACCUAUAAGACUGGGAUAACUUCGGGAAACCGGAGCUAAUACCGGAUAAUAUUUUGAACCGCAUGGUUCAAAAGUGAAAGACGGUCUUGCUGUCACUUAUAGAUGGAUCCGCGCUGCAUUAGCUAGUUGGUAAGGUAACGGCUUACCAAGGCAACGAUGCAUAGCCGACCUGAGAGGGUGAUCGGCCACACUGGAACUGAGACACGGUCCAGACUCCUACGGGAGGCAGCAGUAGGGAAUCUUCCGCAAUGGGCGAAAGCCUGACGGAGCAACGCCGCGUGAGUGAUGAAGGUCUUCGGAUCGUAAAACUCUGUUAUUAGGGAGAACAUAUGUGUAAGUAACUGUGCACAUCUUGACGGUACCUAAUCAGAAAGCCACGGCUAACUACGUGCCAGCAGCCGCGGUAAUACGUAGGUGGCAAGCGUUAUCCGGAAUUAUUGGGCGUAAAGCGCGCGUAGGCGGUUUUUUAAGUCUGAUGUGAAAGCCCACGGCUCAACCGUGGAGGGUCAUUGGAAACUGGAAAACUUGAGUGCAGAAGAGGAAAGUGGAAUUCCAUGUGUAGCGGUGAAAUGCGCAGAGAUAUGGAGGAACACCAGUGGCGAAGGCGACUUUCUGGUCUGUAACUGACGCUGAUGUGCGAAAGCGUGGGGAUCAAACAGGAUUAGAUACCCUGGUAGUCCACGCCGUAAACGAUGAGUGCUAAGUGUUAGGGGUUUCCGCCCCUUAGUGCUGCAGCUAACGCAUUAAGCACUCCGCCUGGGGAGUACGACCGCAAGGUUGAAACUCAAAGGAAUUGACGGGGACCCGCACAAGCGGUGGAGCAUGUGGUUUAAUUCGAAGCAACGCGAAGAACCUUACCAAAUCUUGACAUCCUUUGACAACUCUAGAGAUAGAGCCUUCCCCUUCGGGGGACAAAGUGACAGGUGGUGCAUGGUUGUCGUCAGCUCGUGUCGUGAGAUGUUGGGUUAAGUCCCGCAACGAGCGCAACCCUUAAGCUUAGUUGCCAUCAUUAAGUUGGGCACUCUAAGUUGACUGCCGGUGACAAACCGGAGGAAGGUGGGGAUGACGUCAAAUCAUCAUGCCCCUUAUGAUUUGGGCUACACACGUGCUACAAUGGACAAUACAAAGGGCAGCGAAACCGCGAGGUCAAGCAAAUCCCAUAAAGUUGUUCUCAGUUCGGAUUGUAGUCUGCAACUCGACUACAUGAAGCUGGAAUCGCUAGUAAUCGUAGAUCAGCAUGCUACGGUGAAUACGUUCCCGGGUCUUGUACACACCGCCCGUCACACCACGAGAGUUUGUAACACCCGAAGCCGGUGGAGUAACCUUUUAGGAGCUAGCCGUCGAAGGUGGGACAAAUGAUUGGGGUGAAGUCGUAACAAGGUAGCCGUAUCGGAAGGUGCGGCUGGAUCACCUCCUUU